UCCUUCUCAGUCACUCUCUCUCUCUCUCUCUCUCUCUCUCUCUCUUUAUAUAUAUAUAUAUAUAUAUAUAUAUAUAUAUAUAUAGACACACACAGAGACACACACCAUUCUCUCUCAGCUCUCUCCAAGAAACCAUUUUCCAAUUUCCUGUCCUCUACAAAUUUCCAAGGAUUUGAAUUCCAAACAGAUCACCAUGCCAAUGAAGAAACCAAGUCUCUUUGCAGCCUCUGUUGCUGCUGCUGCUGCUUCUGCCUUCCCUGUUUCCUCCUCAUCUUCUAGCUGUAACUCCCAUGUUAAGGAAGCUGGCUCAAACAAAGAUCAACAGAGAUCGGCUUCCAUGGAUAAAUUUGCACCAAGGUACGAUGGGUUGAGGUUCAUUGAAACGCUGGUCACUGCUCACAGAUGACGAGAGAAUCAACAUCUGGCCUUGAUAGCUCCAUGGAUGAUACUGAUUAGUUGUACUAAUUCUAGCUAGCACCCAUCAUUUCUCUUCAAUCCAGAGAAAAAAAGAUGGCUAAAGAAAGUUUGAUUGUUUUUAAAUUUCUUUGAGUGAAUAUGGUUAGGAGAUCAACUGUAAUUUUCACUCAAAAAUUGCUAGUCCUGAUCAUAAUUCAUGGCUGAUUUUCUUUGUGCCAUUAAUUUUUGUGGGAUUAGAAAACGAUUGCUUGGAAAAGGUUGCUUGCUAAA